AUUAUACAAAUUUUUUUUCUUUAGGAUGAAAAAUGUAAGAAGAUGUGUAUAUCAAAGUUGAUGAAACUUAAAACUGAUGUUUGAAGUGGUUUCUAAAAAGAGCAAUAAUUUUUGAGAGGACUCUUGGAGAAUGCAUAGUUAACUUGGAUCCAGCAAGUUAUCCUAAGCUUGUGAGGUCCGCCUGCGGGGAGACCAAACAGUGAUGAUGAUCCCUAUCCACUGGGGAGAUCUCUAAGAGUGGAAGGCCGAGAGGUUUCUGUUUCCUGGACCGGUAGUUUCCUUGAAUGCUGUGUUCACCAGUCUGUGUCCACCCUCACACCCUCUCCAUCCCACCCGAGUGUCGUGUCAUUUUGCACGUUGUAGACCGAACGGAUGCAUUAGUCUUAAGGUUCGGAGCGGCCGGCUCACAGCGCCACCUGGCGUCCACUUUCGGAAGCGGCGAGAACAGCUUUAAAACGAAAAGUGAGGUAAAGCUGGUCCUCAGCUGUGCACGAAGGAACCUAUCUGGGAGCAGACAGUUUUUGGCUUCAGGGAUGGGAUCAGAAAGCACUACUGGACUCUCGGACAGACAGACCUCCCCGCGGCAUAGAGACCAUUUUCUGAUCUCCAGUGCUCUUGUCCAUUUUGAUUUCUGGUGGUGAGUCCAACUCCUGACCCAGCGCUCCAGACAAAUGUCUGUUGAAGCGUGGUGAGGACAGAUUUUGAUUCUUAAAAUUCUGAGUCUCUUCUCUAGGUUGAGACUGGAGCCUUGGACUUCUUGUGAAAAGUAUGUGCUGGAAUGGAACACCUUGCGAGCUCCU
rnacentral:lncRNA from 9 species